AAAACAAAAACAAAAAGAAGGAAGAGAACAAAAGA
rnacentral:sRNA from 1 species